rnacentral:rRNA from 1 species
ACACGACUACAUUAGAUACCCGCGUAGUCCUAGCCGUAAACGAUACUCGCUAGGUGUCGGCCACGGUGCGACCGUUGUCGGUGCCGUAGGGAAGCCGUGAAGCGAGCCACCUGGGAAGUACGGUCGCAAGGCUGAAACUUAAGGAAUUGGCGGGGAGCACCACCAACGGGUGGAGCCUGCGGUUUAAUUGGACUCAACGCCGGAAAUCUCACCGGAUAGGACAGACAUAUGAUAGUCGGGCUGAAGACUCUACUUGAUGAUCUG